UAUAUAUAUAUAUAUAUAUAUAUAUAUAUAUACAUGUGUGUAUGUAUAUAUAUUACUUUAAAUCGAAUGCUGUUGUCGAAGAGUUUAUAUACGCUUAGAUUAUUUAAUCUAAAUGUCGUUUUUUGCCGUCAUGUUUGAUUGUUUUGUAAUAGAUAUUCUGUGAAUUUAUAUUUUGUAAAUCAUAUAUACGUAUAAAUGAAUAUGCACACAUAUAUUAAUAUAUUUAAUAUUAUAUUUAUAUUAUAUAAUUUAUAUUUUAUAUCGUAUUUUUAAAUAUAUUAAUAUUUAUUAAUAUUUAUUAAUAUAUUUAAAAAUACGAUAUAAAAUAUAAAUUAUGAAUAUAUAAACAACAAAUUUAAUACAUAAUUUUAAAAGAUCGCUACGAAUAACGCGAAAUAACACGUAACCUUAAUGAUUAUAACCUAUACAAAAGUUGAAAAUUUGACAGUAAAAAGAAAUAAAAAAAGAAAAUGAAUGGUUUGAAAUAAUAAAUAUUUUAAUAAAUGCUUUAAGUUGAAGUGUUUUAGUUUUCUUUAUUUGUUUAAUUUGAGUGUAAAUAAUUUAACUGUUUUUCUGUGGAAUACUUUUAUCAAUUAUAAAAUUAACGAUCGUUUAUAUAAUAGAAUUUUAGAACAUAAGUAAAUAUAAAUCUCACAUAUAGUUUCUCUCCAAUCUUAAUAUUCAUAGUUUCGUUAUUUUGAAGAUUAUACUUUUUAAAAUAAUGUGAUAUAAUUAGAAGAAUUAUAAUAAUGCAGAAAUAUUUAAAUUCAUAAUAAUUUUUGUGUUUAAAUAUAUUGAUAAACAUUCGUAAUAAUAAUAAUAAUCCAUUUUAAAUAUUUUUCCACAACAAGAUUUAAUUGUCUAUGUUACUAAUUGAGAAUAAUAUUAUUUAACUAUAUUACGUGGAAAUCGAGAAUAUGUAAAUGCUCGACAAUGUGGAAUUUAUAAUAGUUUAAUCUCCUGGUUUGUGUCGCAAAAACAAAUACAGUGAUGCAAUAUUUAGAGAUCCUGGCAAACAAAGAAAAUUCAUCAACUGAAGCACAUGUAAUCUUAUUACGGAUACAAUUGCUCAAUUUUUUUCUGUAGAAGAUUAAGUCAAGAUAAAGAUCCAAGAUAAUAUCAUGUGUAUUUGUUCAAUUGUCUUUAAAAAAUGCAAGAAUUUAUAAUGUAAUAUCACUCGUUUCAGAAUCCACUGCAUUGUAUUUUCUUGUGAAAUUGGUGAAGAAAAUUUUGAGUCUAAUGUUCUUAAAUGUGAAAACGGUAGAUAAUCAUCUAAUCAAGAUGGGAUAUGUCAAUCGAUGUUUGGAUUCCAUAGCUAUUGACGGAGACCGAUGAACCGUGUCUCUACGUACGAUUUCUUUCUCCAGCGACAUGAAAGAGAUUCUCUUAUAAAGAGGCUUGUCACUAGAAACGAGACAUGGAUUUUGUAUCAAAAUAUGCAUCCAAAACGUACUUGAUGGAUAAGGGACAAUAGAUCUUCAACUGUCACGAAGCCUGUACUUCACCCGAAGAAAAUUUUUUUAUCCAUUUGGUGGGAUUGGAAAGAUAUAGUCUACUAUGAGUGCCUUUCUCAAGGUGAAACCAUCAAUUUUGAAAAAUAUUGCAAUCAGCUUGAUAAAUUGAAACACGCCAUAGCAGAAAAACAACCAAAAUUGGUGAACUGACGAGGCCAUUACAAUCGCAUGUUGCAUCGACUGUAAGAGAAAAAUUAUAGAAAUUAUAUAUGGUGCUUAAUGUAUACGGUUUUGAACUUUGAUGAGAAGUUGAUGCAACCGCUACACACGAAGAUGUUCAUAAGAGUCCUUCGAAUGAGAAAAGUAUGAUUAUUGCGUCACUUGCCGUUCUUCGAGUUAUAAGCGAAUUGAAUAACUUUCAGGAGCUAAUCGAUUGCUAAAGAUAAACAAGUGGGCUGCAACAAGAGAUCGAGACAUCACGAUCGAUUGCGGAAGAUAUCUGUGUAGGAAAAAUAUGGCGGGACCCAUGUUUAAAAAAAAAAAAAUAAAGAUUUCGUAAUGAUAUUUAACCGAUUGUUGCUAGAUUCUUACUUUCGUUAUCAAAAGGAAACGAUGGACUUCAGUAAUGAAUCGAUCAUAGUUGUAUAUGGAUUGAAUCGGAAUUCGAUCGUUGGUUAGAAGAAAACUAAAUAAAAAAAAAAAAAAGAAAAAAAAAUGAUUGGUCGAAUUCGAAUUCUUGCAACUAUUUGUAUAAACGAAAUAGAAAGAUGCAGAUGUGUUCUGUUCACGAUCAGUUCGCACAAUCUCAUUAAAAAAAAUUCCUUUUGAUUUCGUUAAAUAGCAGAUAGAAAAAGAGAAAAUAGAGAAAAUUAUCAUUACAUUAAGAAACAAUGAAAUAAAGUUAAGAUGAUAAAUGUAACGUAUUAUAAAUGUAAAAUGUAUGAAAUUGUGAAACAGUCGAUAUUUGCUUUUUUUGUUUUCACACUUAUACGUUCGGAAAUAUAUGAAUUUAGCAAUCUA